UCCCAGACUCCUACGGGAGGCAGCAGUGGGGAAUAUUGCACAAUGGGGGAAACCCUGAUGCAGCAACGCCGCGUGAGUGAAGAAGUCAUUCGUGAUGUAAAGCUCUAUCAGCAGAGAAGAAAAUGACGGUACCUGAAGAAGAAGCCCCGGCUAACUACGUGCCAGCAGCCGCGGUAAUACGUAGGGGGCAAGCGUUAUCCGGAUUUACUGGGUGUAAAGGGGGCGCAGACGGCGAUGCAAGCCAGGAGUGAAAGCCCGGGGCCCAACCCCGGGACUGCUCUUGGAACUGCGUGGCUGGAGUGCAGGAGGGGCAGGCGGAAUUCCUGGUGUAGCGGUGAAAUGCGUAGAUAUUAGGAGGAACACCAGUGGCGAAGGCGGCCUGCUGGACGAUGACUGACGCUGAGGCUCGAAAGCGUGGGGAGCAAACAGGAUUAGAUACCCUCGUA
rnacentral:rRNA from 1 species